rnacentral:rRNA from 1 species
AGAGUUUGAUCAUGGCUCAGGAUAAACGCUGGCGGCGUGCCUAACACAUGCAAGUCGAACGAUCCCGCAAGGGAGAGUGGCGGAAGGGUGAGUAACACGUGGGAAUCUACCUCCUCGCAGGGAACAACCUCUCGAAAGAGAGGCUAAUACCCAAAAGGGUCAGAAACGAUCAGAGUCGAAAGGCGUGAGGAGAGGAGCCCGCGGCCCAUCAGCUAGUUGGUGAGGUAAUGGCUUACCAAGGCUACGACGGGUAGGGGAUCUGAGAGGAUGUCCCCCACACUGGAACUGAAACACGGUCCAGACGCCUACGGGUGGCAGCAGUGAGGAAUAUUGGACAAUGGGCGAAAGCCCGAUCCAGCAACGCCGCGUGGAGGAUGAAGGCCUUCGGGUCGUAAACUUCUUUAGAGGGAGACGAGAAAGGACGGUAUCCCUAGAAUAAGCGACGGCAAACUACGUG